rnacentral:rRNA from 1 species
GAGUUUGAUCGUGGCUCAGGACGAACGCUGGCGGCGUGCCUAACACAUGCAAGUCGAACGGAGUUUGAGAAGCUUGCUUCUUAAACUUAGUGGCGGACGGGUGAGUAACGCGUGAGUAACCUGCCUUUCAGAGGGGGAUAACGUUCUGAAAAGAACGCUAAUACCGCAUGAGACUACAGAACCGCAUGGUUCAGUGGUCAAAGGAGCAAUCCGCUGAAAGAUGGACUCGCGUCCGAUUAGAUAGUAGGCGGGUAAC